rnacentral:rRNA from 1 species
UACGAAGGGUGCUAGCGUUGUUCGGAAUUACUGGGCGUAAAGCGCGCGUAGGCGGCGAUUCAAGUCAGAGGUGAAAUCCCCAGGCUCAACCUGGGAAUUGCCUUUGAAACUAGAUCGCUAGAAUCUUGGAGGGGAUAGCGGAAUUCCGAAUGUAGCGGUGAAAUGCGUAGAUAUUCGGAGGAACACCGGUGGCGAAGGCGGCUAUCUGGACAAGUAUUGACGCUGAGGCGCGAAAGCGUGGGGAUCAAACAGGAUUAGAUACCCUGGUAGUCCACGCUGUAAACGAUGGGUGCUAGCUGUCGGAGACAUAGUCUUCGGUGGCGUAGCUAACGCGUUAAGCACCCCGCCUGGGGAGUACGGUCGCAAGAUUAAA